AUUGAACGCUGGCGGAAUGCUUUACACAUGCAAGUCGAACGGCAGCACGGGGCAACCUGGUGGCGAGUGGCGAACGGGCGAGUAAUACAUCGGAACGUGCCCAAUCGUGGGGGAUAACGUAGCGAAAGUUACGCUAAUACCGCAUACGAUCUACGGAUGAAAGCGGGGGAUCGCAAGACCUCGCGCGAAUGGAGCGGCCGAUGUCAGAUUAGGUAGUUGGUGGGGUAAAGGCUCACCAAGCCAACGAUCUGUAGCUGGUCUGAGAGGACGACCAGCCACACUGGAACUGAGACACGGUCCAGACUCCUACGGGAGGCAGCAGUGGGGAAUUUUGGACAAUGGGCGCAAGCCUGAUCCAGCCAUGCCGCGUGCAGGAUGAAGGCCUUCGGUUGUAACUGCUUUGUACGGAACGAAAGGUACCGUUUCUAAUAAAGAAGGGCGUCAUGACGGUACCGUAAGAAUAAGCACCGCGUAACUACGUGCCAGCAGCCGCGGUAA
rnacentral:rRNA from 1 species